AUUGAACGCUGGCGGCAUGCCUUACACAUGCAAGUCGAACGGCAGCACGGGAGCAAUCCUGGUGGCGAGUGGCGAACGGGUGAGUAAUAUAUCGGAACGUGCCCAGUCGUGGGGGAUAACGCAGCGAAAGCUGUGCUAAUACCGCAUACGAUCUACGGAUGAAAGCGGGGGAUCGCAAGACCUCGCGCGAUUGGAGCGGCCGAUAGCAGAUUAGCUAGUUGGUGAGGUAAAGGCUCACCAAGGCGACGAUCUGUAGCUGGUCUGAGAGGACGACCAGCCACACUGGAACUGAGACACGGUCCAGACUCCUACGGGAGGCAGCAGUGGGGAAUUUUGGACAAUGGGCGCAAGCCUGAUCCAGCAAUGCCGCGUGCAGGAUGAAGGCCUUCGGGUUGUAAACUGCUUUUGUACGGAACGAAACGGCGAGCUCUAAUACAGUUUGCUAAUGACGGUACCGUAAGAAUAAGCACCGGCUAACUACGUGCCAGCCGCCGCGGUAAUAC
rnacentral:rRNA from 1 species